CCUACGGGAGGCUGCAGUGAGGAAUAUUGGUCAAUGGACGAGAGUCUGAACCAGCCAAGUCGCGUGAAGGAUGACUGCCCUAUGGGUUGUAAACUUCUUUUAUAUGGGAAUAAAACGUUCCACGUGUGGGAUUUUGUAUGUACCAUAUGAAUAAGGCUCGGCUAACUCCGUGCCAGCAGCCGCGGUAAUACGGAGGAUCCGAGCGUUAUCCGGAUUUAUUGGGUUUAAAGGGAGCGUAGGUGGAUUGUUAAGUCAGUUGUGAAAGUUUGCGGCUCAACCGUAAAAUUGCAGUUGAAACUGGCAGUCUUGAGUACAGUAGAGGUGGGCGGAAUUCGUGGUGUAGCGGUGAAAUGCUUAGAUAUCACGAAGAACUCCGAUUGCGAAGGCAGUUCACUGGACUGCAACUGACACUGAGGCUCGAAAGUGUGGGUAUCAAACAGGAUUAGAUACCCGGGUAGUC
rnacentral:rRNA from 1 species